rnacentral:rRNA from 1 species
AGUGAACGCUGGCGGUAGGCCUAACACAUGCAAGUCGAACGGCAGCACAGGAGAGCUUGCUCUCUGGGUGGCGAGUGGCGGACGGGUGAGGAAUACAUCGGAAUCUGCCCAGUCGUGGGGGAUAACGUAGGGAAACUUACGCUAAUACCGCAUACGACCUUCGGGUGAAAGAGGGGGAUCGCAAGACCUCUCGCGAUUGGAUGAGCCGAUGUCGGAUUAGCUAGUUGGCGGGGUAAUGGCCCACCAAGGCGACGAUCCGUAGCUGGUCUGAGAGGAUGAUCAGCCACACUGGAACUGAGACACGGCCCAGACUCCUACGGGAGGCAGCAGUGGGGAAUAUUGGACAAUGGGCGCAAGCCUGAUCCAGCCAUACCGCGUGGGUGAAGAAGGCCUUCGGGUUGUAAAGCCCUUUUGUUGGGAAAGAAAUCUUUCAGGCUAAUACCCUGGGAGGAUGACGGUACCCAAAGAAUAAGCACCGGCUAACUUCGUG